CGUCUUCACUGUCGAGAUCUGCAUGGGCUUUAAAGUGAAGCCCGAACCCGGCCCGUACCCGAGAUUGUCUGACCCGACCCG